rnacentral:lncRNA from 1 species
CAGCUGGACUCAGUUUAGAUGAUCCCAAUUUUGUUGGCAACAUCCAAAGCAUCAUAGUCGGGAGCCAAUCAAACAUAUGCUUUCUUUCCUCCAUCGGGCCUGAUCAGAGUGUUGACCUUGGCCAUGUCAAUGUCAUAGAGCUUCUUCACAGCCUGUUUGAUCUGGUGCUUAUUGGCCUUGGCAUC